CUACAGAGCAGCAAAGCAGCUCAGGAGCCUUUGGCCUGCAUUUUUUUCAGACUUUAGCAGCAAGUCCUGUCACAGGAGGGGUGUUACCUGAAAGUGCUUCUGGGCCGUCACCUUCCCUUCUCAUUAUGUGCAUAAAUGAAGAGGCAUUCCCAGCUGAGGCAUCCCUUGAUGAAGGUUCACAGGCACACUGCUUAAUAUGAAUCAAGCUUACAAAACCAUAUGGAAACCAUAUUUGCUUUUACUGUUAAAUACAUGACUGCUGAAUCAGACCAGAUGAACAGCUUGUUUGGCAUUAUUUGCUUUAUGUUCAGAUAUGUAAAAACUCUGCACCUUCUGCAAGAAUGUAUAAAUCCACGUUUUGUUUGAUCAUAUAAUUUAAACUAGGUGCAAGGUAUAUAUAUAUUAUGAUAAAAGAACAUUGUAUAUUUGUGUUGGAAGUUUACAAACAAUUGUAAUAUUUUGUUAUUUCACUGAAGAUUUUUUUUUUUUUUUUUUAAAUGCUGUGUAUUUCUCAAUUCAGUAAAAUUAUGAGUACUGUGUCUAUCUGGUUUGUGAGCAAGAAAGAGUAAAGUAAUGUAGUAGUUGUCUUUUUAUUCUAUUUCUUGGUUAUGAAAUGUAACACAAAAGUCCUUGUGCGCUUUUUGGCAAAUGUGAUCUUACUUUGUAUUGUGACGUUUCUGCUUUCUUCAGCGAUGCAGACUGUGUAGCAGGCUAGCUCGUGGUUCUACAUACACACACAUGAUAAAAAUUCUGUACGUAAAACAUCGAUAUCAUACAUGCAUUAUAAUCAACUAAUACAUGUGUAUUACAACAAAGACUUAAUAGAUUACAAAUUAUAUAAUAUAUUGAUAAUUAGAAACUUUAUUGCUGAUGAAUAACAUCUUACUCUUUUUUUUUUUCCCUUCCAAUUAAGCACCAGAAUGUGGUGACAAGCAAAAUAAUUAUACUUACAAAGGGAACAGAGCUGACUUUAAAGUAUUUGCAGGUUUUGGAUACCUCUGAAUGCGGAAGAAGACGGUCCUCCGUGUAUGUUUCGAAGCUGUAUUUAUACUUGUGAAACAGCAACACACUAAAAUCUGUGCAAAUCUAAAUGUUAUUGUGUUGCUGUUUCACAAAUAUAAAUUUGGCUCUGAAAAUACCUGACUGGCAUGAAGGGCUGCAUUCGGUUGUAAGCCUUCUGUCCCUGCAUCCCUGUCUUGCCUAGGAAACUCUAGCGGUAAAGCAUGGCUUGUAAUCUAUCUGUAUCAAGUGAUGUAAGGGAAUGAAGACUUGUUCUAGUUAAAAAGGUUUAUAAGUUGUCUGCAGAGAGCUGUACUGUGUCUGAAAGUGUAACAGUGAAAUAAACUGCAAAUAAAGUUAAAAUGGAUUUGUUAAAUAA